rnacentral:rRNA from 1 species
UACAGAGGGUGCGAGCGUUGUCCGGAAUCACUGGGCGUAAAGGGCGCGUAGGCGGCGCGAGGAGUCGGGGGUGAAAGUCCGGGGCUCAACCCCGGAUCGGCCUUCGAUACUCUCGCGCUGGAGCACAGUAGAGGCGGGUGGAAUUCCGGGUGUAGCGGUGGAAUGCGUAGAGAUCCGGAAGAACACCGGUGGCGAAGGCGGCCCGCUGGGCUGUGGCUGACGCUGAGGCGCGACAGCGUGGGGAGCAAACAGG